UUCUUUAAAUGAGGACUAGAAUCAACGGCAUCACGAGGAUCCCACUGUCUCCCCCCUCCAAUCAGUGAAACUGAUCUCUCCGUGAAGAAGCGGGGAUAUAAAUAUAAGACGAGAAGACCCCNUGGAGCUUUAAACCCAACAGCACCCGUUUAUUUUCAUCCUCACAUAAGUUAGGUUAUGCCUGUUUGGUUUUAGGUUGGGGUGACCACGGANUAUAAAACAACCUCCAUGAAAAAAGGA
rnacentral:rRNA from 1 species